AAAUUAAAGUUUAACUUUCUUGUUGUAUCGCAGGUACAAGCUUACAGAAUACACACAAUUUGCCAUUUUAGAAGUGUAUGGAGAGGAGAAAGGGCCUAAGGUGUGGGCUGCAGUCAGUACGUGUCUUCGAGAUUUGUUCGAGGAAUAUAGGAUGAUGUAUGCUCCAAAUGUUGCAUCACCUCUAAGUAGUGCUUCUCAGGAAGUUGAAUCAACUAGAGGGCGUGCAAGCAUGAUGAGAUCCGUGAUUGCCAAAAAAAUGAGGCUGAACAGUGGUGGUAGCAGCAGCAGCAAGUCUGAGCUGGACAAGUUUCUUGCUGAGGAGCCUGAAGAUGAUGGCCCAAAAUUUGACAUAUUAGAUUGGUGGAAGGUUAACUCAUCUAGGUUUCCUAUAUUGGCAUGCUUGGCACGGGAUGUUUUGGCAGUCCCCAUCUCGACUGUUGCAUCCGAGUCUGCGUUCUCUACUGGUGGGCGUAUUCUCGAUGAAUUCAGAUCUUCUCUGACUCCAUUCAUGGUUGAAGCCCUUGUGUGCACUCAGGAUUGGCUUCGAUAUGGUACUCAUGUCAGCAUAGUAGAGAACACUGAAGAAUUGACCAAGCUUGAACAAGAGUUAAUUGCGGAAUAUAAGGAGAAAGUGAAGCUCCAAAGCAAUGCCAAGCCUCCCACCACCGCAAAGCCUACUUAAGGAUUGAUAUUCUUUUUGGUUGGUUGCGGUUCUGAAUAAACUACUGCUAGUCGCUGGAGCAGACGAAAUAAAGCUUGAAGUUUAGAAGUUC